ACCGGAGUACUAUGAAUAUUAAAAAUUUAAAACUCAAAGAACUUGGCGGUGUUUUAGACCACUCAGGGGAACCUGUCUCAUAAUCGAUAAUCCACGUUGUACCUGACCUUUUUUUGUAUUCAGUUUGUAUACCGUUGUCGUCAGGUAACUUUUUAGAAAUUAGAAGUUAGCAGCAGAAAUAAAAAUAAUUUAAUACGUCAAAUCAAGGUGCAGCUAAUGAAAAGGGGAGGAUGGGUUACAAUUAUAUAAUUUAUAAUAACGGAUAGGUAUAUGGAGUAUAUAUUAAUUAUAAGGCGGACUUGAAAGUAAAUUAGGUUAUAUAAAUAACUUGAAUGAGGCUCUGAAACGUGU
rnacentral:rRNA from 2 species